GUUAGUAGGUGCUCAGUGUUUGUAGAAUUAAACGGAAUUUAUUUUAAAAGGCAGACAGGGGCCGUCCGGUGGCGUAACGGUUAAGUUCGGGCGCUCCGCUUCAGCAGCCCAGGGUUCGCAGGUUUGGACCUAUGGUUUGGGGACCUGAUAUGUUUCCCUUCCAGUCAGAUCUUAAAUUUAAGAUAGGAGAGGGAAGGAGGUAUUAGCACAAUUAACCCUCCGAUAGUGGACUUGCAGCUCUCAGUGGAAGGUUUUCUUGGUGGUGGGGAAAAAGGGAGAAGAGCCUUCCCUUUGGUUCUCACGUCAGCCGGGGCACCGCGCCGCACCGGUCAGUACGGUUACCCGUGCUUGUCCUCCUUGCUCUCCGUUAACUCAGCGCCCAGUAAGGGCCGCACUGAGCCGAGCCCUGUGCAAGCAGCCCGUGGAGGGAGGGACUGUUGUUAUGUCCAGUGUAUUCAUCAGGACCUUCGGGUCAGAGAGGCCCCUGGGUGACACCACUGGCCAGGGCAAGGGCCUGGGUCACAAAUCCUCCUUCUGCCUGUCCCCCGACACCUGCCCCACCGCUGCCUCUGGGCCUGAAGUCACAGCAAGUAGCCCUCUUCUCUCCAGCUCGGAGCUCGCCCCCAGUGAUCCCUUUGGACAAACACCUGUCCGGUCUGGUCUCAAAGCUUAUGCCAAAUCAAGUUCUUGUUCUGCAGGUAGAGGCAGGGGAUGGAAAAAUCCACAGAUUCCACUUUGAAAAGAACUUCAAUUUGGGGGCAAGGGAGGGGUGGAAAGAGGAGAGGUAUAGGAAAUGAUUCAGAAACAGCUGAACUUUGAAAAACAGCAGAAAAAUCUCUCAGGCGCUGCAGAGCAGUGCAUUUUUAAAUGAAGCUGUGCCAAGGGACUGAAAAAUUGCUUAUGAGCAGAGGACAGCGGCCCAGGGAGCAGUUGAACUGACAGGGCCGACGGAACUGCUGGGAGCGCGGUUUCUUCAGAGGCAGCAAGAGAAACUCAGAGCGUGUUCUUCAUCACCGAAUUCCAGGAGGUCACCAAAUUCUACAGCAGCCCAAUAGUACGACCGCUAAAUAUGACAGGUCCCAGCUACAACAGCCACUAAGUACUACGGCCACUAAGUACUACAGACCCUAACUACUACGCCAGAGGGUCCUGUCACCUAUAGUUUCCCCUGCUAGUUCACCUUGGCUAUCCAGAGAAACUCGAGGAGGUGGAAGAAGCCUGGGCCUUAAUGUGGUGACCACAGGAACUCAGCACAGUGCUCGUGGGGCGCGUCAUGGUUAGGGGGGAACUCUAUAAGCAGAAUUCCAGCCCUGCAGCAGCCUGAUUCUCCCCUGUUUGAGGGGACUGUUCCACACGGAGGAGGAGGAGGAUGUGGCUGCUGGCCCAGCUGAGGGUCUCCGGAGGCUCCGAGGCACCCCCUGAACUGACUCUUCUGGGAAGCAAAGACAUUCCAGUGCUGUGCAAGCCUUCAGGGUUUGCUUUCUUGUCAAUGAUACUUUCCAUGAAUGCUUUCACAAUGAAGCAUACUCAUUAUAGACAAUAUGAAAAGUGCAGAAAAAUAUAAAGAAGUCGAAAAACAAUGACUGAUGGUCCAUUACCCAGAGGCAACCACUAGUAAACUCUGGCAUAUUGUCUUUCAGUCUUCUCUGCUGUUUUCUUUUCCUUUACAUAGUUGAGAUCACACUGCACUCUUAAUUUUGUGUCAUG
rnacentral:lncRNA from 1 species